CCUACGGGUUGCAGCAGUGGGGAAUAUUGCACAAUGGGGGAAACCCUGAUGCAGCGACGCCGCGUGAGCGAAGAAGUAUUUCGGUAUGUAAAGCUCUAUCAGCAGGGAAGAAAAUGACGGUACCUGAGUAAGAAGCUCCGGCUAAAUACGUGCCAGCAGCCGCGGUAAUACGUAUGGAGCAAGCGUUAUCCGGAUUUACUGGGCGUAAAGGGAGCGUAGGCGGCCUGCCAAGUCUGAUGUGAAAUACCGGGGCUCAACCCCGGGGCUGCAUUGGAAACUGGCAGGCUGGAGUGCCGGAGAGGCAGGCGGAAUUCCUAGUGUAGCGGUGAAAUGCUUAGAUAUCACGAAGAACUCCGAUUGCGAAGGCAGCUUACUAAACUGCCACUGACAUUGAUGCUCGAAAGUGUGGGUAUCAAACAGGAUUAGAUACCCGAGUAGUC
rnacentral:rRNA from 1 species